AUUGAACGCUAGCGGGAUGCCUUACACAUGCAAGUCGAACGGAGUGGCGAACGGGUGAGUAAUGUAUCGGAACGUGCCCAGUAGCGGGGGAUAAAUACGCGAAAGCGUAGCCAAUACCGCAUACUAUUGGAGCGGCCGAUAUCGGAUCAGCUAGUUGGUGGGGUAACUGCCUACCAAGGAGACGAUCCGUAGCUGGUUGGAGAGGACGACCAGCCAAACUGGGACGGUGAAACGGCCCAGACUCCUACGGGAGGCAGCAGUGGGGAAUUUUGGACAAUGGGGGAAACCCUGAUCCAGCCAUCCCGCGUGGGCGAGGAAGGCCUUCGGGUUGUAAAGCACGUUUGGCAGGAAAGCGGUACCUGCAGAAUAAGCACCGGCUAACUACGUGCCAGCAGCCGCGGUAAUUC
rnacentral:rRNA from 1 species